UACGUAGGGUGCGAGCGUUGUCCGGAAUUAUUGGGCGUAAAGAGCUCGUAGGCGGUUUGUUGCGUCGGCCGUGAAAACCUGCAGCUUAACUGUGGGCCUGCGGCCGAUACGGGCAGACUUGAGUUCGGUAGGGGAGACUGGAAUUCCUGGUGUAGCGGUGAAAUGCGCAGAUAUCAGGAGGAACACCGGUGGCGAAGGCGGGUCUCUGGGCCGAUACUGACGUUGAGGAGCGAAAGCGUGGGGAGCGAACAGG
rnacentral:rRNA from 1 species